rnacentral:rRNA from 1 species
UACGUAGGUGGCAAGCGUUGUCCGGAAUUACUGGGCGUAAAGGGUGCGUAGGCGGAUAUUUAAGUAGAAAGUGAAAGGUUGGAGUUCAACUCCAACAUUGCUUCCUAUACUGGAUGUCUUGAGUUUCGGAUAGGAAGAUGGAACGACACGUGUAGCGGUGAAAUGCGGUGAGAUGUGUCGGAACACCAAUAGCGAAGGCAAUCUUCUGGACGAAUACUGACGCUGAGGCACGAAAGCCAAGGGAGCGAACAGG